rnacentral:rRNA from 1 species
CCUACGGGAGGCAGCAGUGGGGAAUAUUGCGCAAUGGGCGAAAGCCUGACGCAGCGACGCCGCGUGAGGGAUGAAGGUCUUCGGAUCGUAAACCUCUGUCAGCAGGGAAGAACGGUCACUGUGCUAAUCAGCAGUGAAUUGACGGUACCUGCAAAGGAAGCACCGGUUAACUCCGUGCCAGCAGCCGCGGUAAUACGGAGGGUGCGAGCGUUAAUAGGAAUUACUGGGCGUAAAGCGAGCGUAGGCGGUAUGUCAAGUCAAGGAUGAAAUCCCCGGGCUCAACGUGGGGACUGCGUUGGGAACUGGAGACCUGGAGUGUGUGGGAGGAUGGUGGAAUUCCUGGUGUAGGAGUGAAAUCCGUAGAUAUCUGGAGGAACAUCAGUGGCGAAGGCGACUAUCUGGCACAUAACUGACGCUGAGGAGCGAAAGCGUGGGUAGCAAACAGGAUUAGAUACUCUUGUAGUC